rnacentral:lncRNA from 1 species
CUUUUACAAAAAUCUUCUCCUCUGAAACUAAUGGGCCAAAUCAAACCAAACUUGGCCACAAUCAUCAUUGGGGUAUCUAGUUUUAAAAAAUGUGUCCGGUGACCUGGCCAACCAACCAAGAUGGCCACCAUGGCUAAAAAUAGAACAUAGGGGUAAAAUGCAGUUUUUGGCUUAUAACUCAAAAACCAAAGCAUUUAGAGCAAAUCUGACACGUGGUAAAAUUGUUUAUCAGGUCAAGAUCUAUCUGCCCUGAAAUUUUCAGAUGAAUCGGACAACCCGUUGUUGGGUUGCUGCCCCUAAAUUGACAAUUUUAAGGAAAUUUUACUGUUUUUGGUUAUUAUCUUGAAUAUUAUUAUAGAUAGAGAUAAACUGUAAAC